AAGACCCACCACCAUCAGCACUCCAAUCAAGACUUAUCAUAUCAUGUCAAAUUCCUGAAGCCCUGUACUGAAUAUGAACAUCAUGUGGCAUUUGUUGAUCAUGUUGGCAAAGAAACACCCUGUAACAGCACUGAAGAUAAAACUAGAACAACUGGAAUGAAUAAAGAUGACAUUAACGAAGUCAGCUGCACCCCUGGAUAUGUUUGUUACCACAGUGAUUGGGACAUCAGCACUUCACUGUCAGCAUCAAAUAAUAUUCCAGCUGAGCCCUGCAAAAGUGACCUGACAACAUUCUGCAUCAAACCUGGUUUCAAUGACAUUUGUUCAGAUUUGACUACAACCUUCACCUGUGGGAAUACUUCCUU